CUCUUGAUGGCCGAGAUAGGCAUUAAGCUUUUAACUUAACCACAGAACAAAACUUCGAGAG
rnacentral:tRNA from 1 species